AGAAAAUCAUGUGGGGCUUGGGAAACUAAUCUAAUGAUGCUUCCAGCUAUCAUAAAUCACCAAGAAGAAAUAAUUUUAUGUUCAUACCAUUCUGCAUUUGACAACAACAGUCCUUGGUCAUAAAGUUAUAAGAUAAAUUAAAGUUAAUCUUGAUGAUAAUGAGGAACAAAAGAGGUGUAAAACCUUUAAAUGUUUUUCAAAUUUUUUAACACCGUCAAGGAAUUCCAUAACUUUCAAGAUUUGUCAAACUAAGCGCCUCAGCAUUACAAAAAUAAUAAUAAUAAGAAGAAAAGUUUUGGAUUCCCUAUGUUUGGUAUUUUAAAUAAAACCUACAAAAAUUCAGAAUGCAGUUAUGCUAAUAACACUCAAAUGCUUGCAUGCCAGGACAAGUUUGCUAUUUUAAACAAAACCUGUAGCAUUUAGAACUUUCACCGGGGAGAACUUUCGAUGCAAUUGUUUCAGAAACAAUUUUUGU
rnacentral:misc_RNA from 1 species